GGCGAUCGGGUGCGUAACACCUGAGAAACCAACCCCGGUCUCUGGGAUAACAGGUGGAAACACCUGCUAAUACCGGAUGCGGUCGUGUCCUCGCAUCGGGAUAUGACGAAAGGGCUUCCGGAUCGGGACGGUCUCGCGGCCUAUCAGCUUGUUGGAGAGGAAACGGCUCACCAAGGCAUCGACGGGUAGCUGGUCUGAGAGGAUGAUCAGCCACACUGGGUCUGAGACACGGCCCAGACUCCUACGCGAGGCAGCAGUGGGAAAUCUUGCGCAAUGGGCGAAAGCCUGACGCAGCAACGCCGCGUGCGGGAUGAAGGCCUUCGGGUAGUAAACCGCUUUUACCAGGAAGGAAAAUGACAGUAACUGGAGAAUAAGGUGCGGCCAACUACGUGCCAGCAGCCGCGGUGACACGUAGGCUCCAAGCGUUGUCCGGAUUUAUUGGGCGUAAAGACCUCGUAGGCGGUUCAGUAAGUCGGGUGUGAAAACUCUGGGCUUAACCCAGAGACGCCUCCCGAUACUGCUGUGACUUGAGUCCGGUAGGGGACGUGGCGAUUUCCUGGUGUAGGGGUGAAAUGCGCAGAUAUCAGGUGGAACAACAAUGGCGAAGGCACCACU
rnacentral:rRNA from 1 species